rnacentral:misc_RNA from 1 species
GAGAGAGAGAGAGAGAGAGAUAUAAAUCCACCAACAGGUUUCAGCCAAGAGAAGCAAGGGCCUAGUGUAUUGAGAGUUUAUACAGGAAGAAAUUCUAGAAGAAUUGGAGCUGGUAUUGCUGACUUGGCAGAAGCUUCUAGAAGGGACGAAACAGAGAAAAUGGCAGGACUCGAGUAGAGAAGGAGAGAAUAUAACUAUUGCCAUGCAAUACAUACAGGGAGGUGGAAAAACUAUAAAAAGAGGAGAGUAUCAACUAAAUAGGGCAUGAAUUGAGUGUCAUCUUGUUUCUUCAGCUUUUAACAGGGCCGAGAGCUUCCUCUGUUAGCUCUUUGGAUUUAUGGUAUUUUCUGUUAUUGUAAUUUGGAAAGUAAUUAUUGCAUUUGGCAAUUCUACUGGGCUAGGAGGAGCCAUUUGUAUACUCAAAACACACCCUUCACUAUUCUGCUACUCUGAAUAUAUACAAGAUGGUGCCUAUUUCUCUGUAACAAAUUUUGUCCACAUGUCCUCUCUCCUUUGCUAGCUCCAACAGCCACAUCCCCCUACUUCUUUCUUAGAAUAAAUGUUAAAUGUUCUUGGACCUAGGCCUGCAUCCCCU